rnacentral:rRNA from 1 species
UUAGUGGCGGACGGGUGAGUAACGCGUGGAAAACCUGCCGUAUACUGGGGAUAACACUUAGAAAUAGGUGCUAAUACCGCAUAAGCGCACAGCUUCGCAUGAAGCGGUGUGAAAAACUCUGGUGGUAUACGAUGGUUCCGCGUCUGAUUAGCUAGUUGGUGGGGUAAUGGCCUACCAAGGCAACGAUCAGUAGCCGGCCUGAGAGGGUGAACGGCCACAUUGGGACUGAGACACGGCCCAAACUCCUACGGGAGGCAGCAG